GAUGAACGCUGGCGGCGUGCCUAAUACAUGCAAGUCGAACGCGCAGCGAAAGGUGCUUGCACCUUUCAAGCGAGUGGCGAACGGGUGAGUAACACGUGGAUAACCUGCCUCAAGGCUGGGGAUAACAUUUGGAAACAGAUGCUAAUACCGAAUAAAACUUAGUAUCGCAUGAUACAAAGUUAAAAGGCGCUACGGCGUCACCUAGAGAUGGAUCCGCGGUGCAUUAGUUAGUUGGUGGGGUAAAGGCUUACCAAGAAGAUGAUGCAUAGCCGAGUUGAGAGACUGAUCGGCCACAUGGGGACUGAGACACGGCCCAAACUCCUCCGGGAGGCUGCAGUAGGGAAUCUUCCACAAUGGGCGCAAGCCUGAUGGAGCAACGCCGCGUGUGUGAUGAAGGCUUUCGGGUCGUAAAGCACUGUUGUAUGGGAAGAAAUGCUAAAAUAGGGAAUGAUUUUAGUUUGACGGUACCAUACCAGAAAGGGACGGCUAAAUACGUGCCAGCCGCCGCGGUAA
rnacentral:rRNA from 1 species